rnacentral:rRNA from 1 species
UACGUAGGGGGCAAGCGUUGUCCGGAAUCAUUGGGCGUAAAGCGCGUGUAGGCGGUUCAGUAAGUCUGCUGUGAAAGUCCAGGGCUCAACCCUGGGAUGCCGGUGGAUACUGCUGGGCUAGAGUACGGAAGAGGCGAGUGGAAUUCCCGGUGUAGCGGUCGAAAUGCGCAGAUAUCGGGAGGAACACCAAUUGCGAAGGCAGCUCGCUGGGACGUUACUGACGCUGAGACGCGAAAGCGUGGGAGCAACAGG